rnacentral:rRNA from 1 species
AAUCAACGCUGGCGGCAUGCCUAACACAUGCAAGUCGAACGCGAAAGUUCCUUCGGGAAUGAGUAGAGUGGCGUCCGGGUGAGUAACGCGUGGGUAAUCUGCCUUUGGGUGGGGAAUAAC